UAUAGACUGACUCAAUACUAUCAUGGACUACACCAGGUAAUAUAUAGACUGACUCAAUACUAUCAUGGACUACACCAGGUAAUAUAUAGACUGACUCAAUACUAUCAUGGACUACACCAGGUAAUAUAUAGACUGACUCAAUACUAUCAUGGACUACACCAGGUAAUAUAUAGACUGACUCAAUACUAUCAUGGACUACACCAGGUAAUAUAUAGACUGACUCAAUACUAUCAUGGACUACACCAGGUAAUAUAUAGACUGACUCAAUACUAUCAUGGACUACACCAGGUAAUAUAUAGACUGACUCAAUACUAUCAUGGACUACACCAGGUAAUAUAUAGACUGACUCAAUACUAUCAUGGACUACACCAGGUAAUAUAUAGACUGACUCAAUACUAUCAUGGACUACACCAGGUAAUAUAUAGACUGACUCAAUACUAUCAUGGACUACACCAGGUAAUAUAUAGACUGACUCAAUACUAUCAUGGACUACACCAGGUAAUAUAUAGACUGACUCAAUACUAUCAUGGACUACACCAGGUAAUAUAUAGACUGACUCAAUACUAUCACGGACUACACCAGGUAAUAUAUAGACUGACUCAAUACUAUCAUGGACUACACCAGGUAAUAUAUAGACUGACUCAAUACUAUCAUGGACUACACCAGGUAAUAUUUUAUUUUUUUU